GCUUUUUUCUCCCCCCCAGGGAGAUGCGCCGUGUCUCCAUCAUCUGGCGCUGCAGGAUCGCAUCCUGCCUCUUUGACCUACUCAGCCAAGACAUUUCAGACUGGGAACUGCCCGCCCUGACGUUCCUGGUGGAGGUCCUGGACUGCCUGGACUUGAGUGAAUGCGGUGAAAAGGUCCUGCAGAUCAUGACAAGGCACCUGAAGAGACGGUCCAGAGAGAUGCGUCGCGUGGCGCUCAGAGGCCUCGUGGUGCUCAGCCAGGACCCCUCGAUGAACCAAAGAAUGUACAGCCUGACUGAAAGCCUUGGCAACCUCCUGCGGGCCGUGGAUGAAGACAUUGUUGAGAUGACCGUCGUUGUUCUCAGCUCUCUGCUCUUCAACAAAGAGAUAGCAAUAGCCAGCCCCAUCGCCCUGCAGCUGGCUGAGGCGCUCUGGCAACUCUUCGACAAUGACAACAGCCUUGUGAAGCUGCUCUCCGUUCGCCUCUUCCAAGAGGUGAUGAACUUGGUGGUGGCCAAGGGAAAAAAGCCCCUGAAGAAGCAUGUGAGGCAGAGCCUGCUCCCACUCUUCUUCAACUGCCACGAUGAGAACUGGGGUGUGGCACAGGCCUCUCGGGAAACGCUGCUUUCUGCAGUAAGGUUCCUGAAGAGAAGGGAUCUUCAGCACCUGGUGAACACAGAUCAGAUGUGGAGCUUUGCCGAGCGCUUGCUGGCAGAGGACAGGAGCCGAGCGGCCGAGCACCUGCGCCGGGCCCUGCCCUACCUGCAGAGCCCACAGGAGCCCCUGCGAGAGGCGGCCGUCAGGUUCAUGGGGAUCGCCGGGCGCUGCCUGAGAGGACAGCAGCAAGAGUUCCGGAUCCUCUGCAGGGCCCUUCAGGACAUGGCGAAUGACGCCAGCCCCGCCAUCUCAUGCCUGGCCCUUCAAACUCAUUACAUCAAUUUAGCUGUGCAGGCCAUUCCCUCCUCCCGACUCCAGAAUGUGCAAGAUCAACUCUGCCGGCUCUGGAAGUCACGGCCUUUCCCGUGUCGCCGGGGCUGGCUGUCCUGCUGCAGCGCUGUGGAGAACUGUUCCGCCAGGCUGCGUCUGCUGGGGCCACCUGAGCCUGCGGGGACCAACCCCUUCUGAAAGCACUUCCUUUCACCCCAGGAUAGCAUUAAUAAAUUGCUGUUGUCAUACCCGGAGGUCCAGGAGCUUUCUCUUGGUGCCCAGAUUCUUCAGGCCAAUGGGGAGGAGUGGAAAAAGGGCGCUUGCACUUGGCAAGUUGCCCAAGUAUGCGGUGGGCAAGGGAAAGUGGCCAGAAGCCCCUUGGCCUUUGGUGGUGCUGCUGAACGUUUUUCUUCCUGCUUCAAGUCUUCUGGAGCUGUGGGAACAAGUGUGUUCUGUGUCCGUGGAACAGCAGAAAGCGGCAGGAUGUGUCUGCUUCCAGUGCUUCUCUUGGCUCUUCCUUCACACUGCUGGCCCCGUCAUCAGGGACACAGAACGGCUUCUCUCAUGCCAGCGUUAUCCCAGUCUUCUGCAUUUCCCCAGGUUCCUCCCAGCUUCACCAGGGAAAUUCUCUGCUCGUGCCUGUCCAUUCCCUUGCCCAGAAGGCAGCACCCGCUUGUCUUUGGACAUGAGCUGCUGGCCACAGCCAGCCAGGCAGCAACCGGAGCAUUGGGCAUCAGAUGCUGGGCUGAUGUUCUUUCCCAGAAAGCAAGAAAAACAGAAGGACACAAGGGAACUUGACAGUAUCUCUGUAAGAAUGUCAUUGUCCUCUGGAAGUCAACAGUGGAUGGUGUUUUUGUGCUGCAGAUUAUCACUUCCAAGCAAAAAUCAUUCUAGGAAGGAGCAACAGCUUUUGACAGCUACCAAGUGUGGCUACCAAGUGCUGCUCCAGGUGCUCCUGCCUGCAGCCACCUGCAGAAAGGAUCCCAUAGACACCAAGGCACGUUGGCUUUGGCUGUCCUCUGGCACACAAGUCCAGCUUCGGCAAUAGGACAAUUAGGGAACAGCAUGUUAAUUUCAGGAGCACAAUUAGAGAACAUCAUGUUAAAAUUAAUGAGGACAAUUAGAGAGCACUGUGUUAAUUUCAGGAGGACGAUUAGAGAACAGCACGUUAAAUUCAGGAGGACAAUUAGAGAACACCACAUUAAAUAUAACAAAGACGAUUAGAGAUCACCAUGUUAAUUUCAGGAGGACAAUUAGAGAAUAGCAUGUUAAAAAUAACGAGGACUAUUAGAGACUACCAUGUUAAUUUAACAAAGACAAUUAGAGAACACCAUGUUAAUUUCAGGAGCACAAUUAGAGAACACAAUGUUAAUUUCAGGAGGACAAUUAAGGAACACCAUGUUAAAUAUAACAAAGACAAUUAGAGAUCACCAUGUUAAUUUCAGGAGGACAAUUAGAGAAUAGCAUGUUACAAUUAAGGAGCACAAUUAGAGAAUACCAUGUUAAUUUAAGGAGGUCAAUUAGAGAACGCCAUGUUAAUUUAACGAAGACAAUUAGAGAAUACCAUGGUAAUUUAAGGAGGACAAUUAGAGAAUAUGAUGUUAAAAAUAAUGAGGACUAUUAGAGAAUACCAUGUUAAUUUAGUGAGUACAGUUAGAGAAUACCAUGUGAAUUUCAGGAGGACAAUUAGAGAACGCCAUGUUAAGAUUAACAAGGACAGUUAGGGAACACCAUCUUAAUUUCAGGAGCACAAUUAGAGAUCACCGUGUUAAUUUCAGGAGGACAUACUAAAAUGCCAUCAGAGGCUGUGAGACAGCAGGGUGGGGACACAAGAAUAGAUAAAAAAAAAUAAAACAAAGCAAAAUAAAUAAAAUAAUAAAAUUUAAAAAAUAAAGUAAAAUAAAAUAAAAUAAAAUAUAAAAAUGAAAUAAUAAAUCCUGACCCUCAGGAUGUCUCUGAGCCAGAGAGUGAAGGGGUCAGGCGAAGGAGCUCCCAAAACAUCAGAAAUUUGAAAGAAUGUUUGAAUAGUGUGAAAAUCCCCGAUAUAUGAUUGGCGUUUGGCAAAUAUUAAAAUGAAUACUGAAUGCGAUAUGUGUUAUGUUGGAAAGAUAUGCAGUAUUAAUCUCUUAAAUUUGGCUGUAUUAACAUUUUUUAAAUUUGGCUGUAUUAAUCUCUUUUUCAUUUUAAUAGUGCUGUAUUAAUCUCUUUUAAGUUUUGCUGUAUUAAUGUCUUAAAUUUGGCGAUAUUAAUGUCUUACAUUUUUCCUUUAUUAAUCUCUUUUAAGUUAAGUUUUUCCUGUAUUAAUCUCUUUUGUUUUGCUGUAUUAAUCUCUUAAAUUUGGCUGUAUUAAUCUCUUUUAUUAACCUCUUUAACAUUUUUCUUGUAUUAAUCUCUUUUAAAUUUUUCCUGUAUUAAUCUCUUUUAAAUAGUGCUGUAUUAAUUCUUAAAUUUGGCUGUAUUAAUCUCGUUUAAGUUUUCUUGUAUUAAUUUCUUUUAAAUUUUUCCUGUAUAAAUCUCUUUUUAAGUUUUGCUGUUUUAAUCUCUUUUCAGUUUUUCCUGUAUUAAACUCUUAAAUUUGGCUUUAUUAAUAUCUUUUAAAUUUUUCCUGUAUUAAUAUAUUUUGAGUUUUGCUGCAUUAAUCUCUUUUAAAUUUUGCAGUAUUAGUCCCUUUUAAAUAGUGUCGUAUUAAAUUAAGUCUCUUAAAUUUUGCUGCAUUAAUUUUGUUUAAAUUUUUCCUGUAUUAAUCUCUUCUAAAUUUUUCCUGUAUUCAUCUUAAGUUUUCCUAUAUUAAUCUCUUUUAAAUUUUUCCUGUAUUAAUCUCUUUUAAGCUUCCCUGUAUUAAUCUCUUUUCAGUUUUCCAUAUUAAUAUCUUUUAAGUUUUUCCUCUAUUAAUCUCAUUUAAUUAUUCCUGUAUUAAUAUUUUAAAUUUUUCCUGCAUUCAUCUCUUUUAAGUUUGUCCUGUAUUAAUCUCUUUUCAGUUUUCCUGUAUUAAUAUAUUUUAAGUUUUUCCUGCAUUAAUCUCUUUUAAUUUUUUCCUGUAUUAAUCUCUUCUAAAUUUUUCCUGUAUUAAUCUCUUUUAAGUUUUGCUGCAUUAAUCUCAUUUAAAUUCUUCCUGUGUUAAUCUCUUUUAAGUUUUUCCUGUACUAAUCUCGUUUAAUUAUUCCUGUAUUAAUCUUUUCAAUUUUCCCUGCAUUCAUCUCUUUUAAAUUUUUUCUGUAUUAAUCUCAUUUCAGUUUUUCCGUAUUAAUCUCUCUUAAAUUUUUCCUGUAUUCAUCUCUUUUCAGCAGUGUGGCACACACACUUUUUAGCCUAGAGCACAAUAUUAAAAGAACAGCAACAGACACCAAAAUCAAAAAAAAAAACAAACCAUUAUUGCCUCCUUCUGUGGAAAUCUCAGAUUUUCAAAGAUUGAUUUACAAGAUGGGGGGGAAAGCUAAAAUUUAAACUCCUAAAAUUUCAACACAACGAGUUUUUCACAAAUAACGAAAUCAUGAAUAUGCACGCGCCUCAGCGAUGUCACCCCGCUGGAAUUACUCUCCUUUUUUUAUCCUAUUGCCAUUAUUAUUAUUAUUAAACUUUAAAAACUCCAAACCGUGAAUUCUGUUCCUCGCACUUUCAGACCCAAACUCCCUUACUUUGAACCCAAACUCACUUUUUCACCCCAAAAUCUUCCCCCUGCCUCCCUGGGUUGACUUUUGAAGGUCGGACUCCCGUUUUUUUUUAAAUCCAGAUUCUACUUUUUAGGUCCAAACUGCUCAAUUUUAGUGCUCAAACCCCAAACUAUGGCCCAAAUUCCCCAUUUUUGGACCCAAACUCCCCCUUUUGGGGUCCAGACUUCCCAUCUAGGCACCCAAAUUCCCCUUUUUGGGGCACAAAUUCCCGAUUUUUUUGGUCGAAAUUCUCCCUUUUUGAAACCAAAUCCCCCUUUUUCGGUCCAAAUUUCCCCCUUUUCUUGCUCAAAUCCCCUUUUUUGGGCCCAAAUUCUCUCUUUUUGGACCCGAAUGCGCCUUUUGAGCCCAAACUUUCCCUUCCUGGACACAGAUUCCUCCUUUUUGGGCCCAAAUUCCCCUUUUAAGACCCAAAUUCCAUAUUUUUUUUUUUUACCCAAACUCCCGUUUUCACCCCAAAAUCU
rnacentral:lncRNA from 1 species